rnacentral:rRNA from 1 species
UUUUAUUUGAGAGUUUGAUCCUGGCUCAGGAUGAACGCUGGCGGCGUGCCUAACACAUGCAAGUUGAGCGAUUUACUUCGGUAAAGAGCGGCGGACGGGUGAGUAACGCGUGGGUAACCUACCCUGUACACACGGAUAACAUACCGAAAGGUAUGCUAAUACGGGAUAAUAUAUUUGAGAGGCAUCUCUUAAAUAUCAAAGGUGAGCCAGUACAGGAUGGACCCGCGUCUGAUUAGCUAGUUGGUAAGGUAACGGCUUACCAAGGCGACGAUCAGUAGCCGACCUGAGAGGGUGAUCGGCCACAUUGGAACUGAGACACGGUCCAAACUCCUACGGGAGGCAGCAGUGGGGAAUAUUGCACAAUGGGCGAAAGCCUGAUGCAG